rnacentral:pre_miRNA from 1 species
UAGUUACUCCCUCCGUUCCAAAUUAUUCGUCGCAGAAAUGGAUGUAUUUAGAACUAAUAUACAUCUAGAUACAUCCAUACCUGCGACAAGUAAUUCGGAACGGAGGGAGUAUUAC